rnacentral:lncRNA from 1 species
UUUUAUGCAUACAUAUAUACACUUCUAAUUGCUUCAUUGGUUGUAUUUCAAAAUAUAUGAAGAUUUCUCUGUAUCUUGUACAAAUAACUUUAGCAUGCUGGUCCAUCUAAUGCCACAAGUGAACCCAGGUUCUCCUGGGUUGACUAUUUGCAUAAAUAAUUGGACAUUGACUUUGAAAACCAACUCAAGCUUAUUGGUGAACAUGCUUGGUAUCAGUGUUUAGGUUUAUACAUAUUCAAGGUAUUGCUAUCCUGAUAUACAAAUGAAGUUAUCACAUGCAAAGCUCAAUAUAUGGUAAAAUAGGGAAAUUCUGGUUUUUAGAAGGAAUGAGUUUGGGGAUUGCCCAUUCUUUAUGGGAUUUUACUUAUUAGCAAGUAUAGGAAUUUGUUACCCGUUCCUGAUACAUUCAUUGUUUUGGUUCUUUUGUUUGAAAUAUUCUUGUAAAUCUACUUCUUAAUGAAAAUUGACUGCAAAAGACAUGCUAUCCCUCCCAAGGAUGUAAAUCUACUUCUUAAUGAAAAUUGACUGCAAAAGACAUGCUAUCCCUCCCAAGGACCAACUAUAGAGGCAAAUAAGUGGGCGUUUGGCCAUGUUUCAUUGAGAAAUUUGAAGAAAAUUGGAGUUGUGGUCACCAUGAAUACAAAUUGGAGUUGUUUGUCUUUUUGCGAGUAAUUUGGAGUGAUGAAG